AGUGAACGCUGGCGGUAGGCCUAACACAUGCAAGUCGAACGGCAGCACAGUAAGAGCUUGCUCUUACGGGUGGCGAGUGGCGGACGGGUGAGGAAUACAUCGGAAUCUACUUUUUCGUGGGGGAUAACGUAGGGAAACUUACGCUAAUACCGCAUACGACCUACGGGUGAAAGCAGGGGAUCUUCGGACCUUGCGCGAUUGAAUGAGCCGAUGUCGGAUUAGCUAGUUGGCGGGGUAAAGGCCCACCAAGGCGACGAUCCGUAGCUGGUCUGAGAGGAUGAUCAGCCACACUGGAACUGAGACACGGUCCAGACUCCUACGGGAGGCAGCAGGGGGGAAUAUUGGACAAUGGGCGCAAGCCUGAUCCAGCCAUACCGCGUGGGUGAAGAAGGCCUUCGGGUUGUAAAGCCCUUUUGUUGGGAAAGAAAAGCAGCAGGUUAAGACCCCGCUGUUCUGACGGUACCCAAAGAAUAAGCACCGGCUAACUUCGU
rnacentral:rRNA from 1 species